CUCGGUGAAUUGACUCGGAUCUAAUGGCGGGCAACUGACUCGGAUCUAAAGACUUGCAGAAACUACUAGGGGCACUCUGUAUCUCUUUUUUUCAUCGACUGUAAAAGACGGACAUAUUACAAAAUGGCCACUGAACAGAAAAGGGAAGAAGAAGAGCGGCAAACGACGAAGCUACCAUUACCAGCCGAAUGGAAGGGGAAGGUAGAAGAACAGUAUCGGAAGAUCAGAGAACACGCAGAGACUUACCCUUACGUUUGGGCUUCUUACAUCUUCGUCUAUGGUGGACUCGCCUUAUGGACCACUUAUCGAUGGAGAAAGCUUCGGAAGACUGAGGAUAGGGUUCGAGCACUGCAAGUGAGACUUCGUAAGCUAAUUGAAGCCCAAGAAUCUGCAAACUCAGCGGCUCCAUCGGUUGAUAGAGCAACUCCUGAUAAACCCUCAAAACAAUGACCAAUUCGGAUUUUCUGAGGAUGAAGUUGUUGAAGGUAUUCAAAAUGCGAGAAGAGUUUGUGAAAUGGGUAGGACCUAAUUAACGGUUCACAACCCCCCCCCCUUUCUUUUUUGUUCUUUUUACAAUUUUGUUUUUUUUUCUCCAUCUUCAUUGAGUUGAGGAGGUCAAAAAGUUGUAGAAGUUUGAAUGUUUGUAAUUCUGUGAUCAUUUUCUUCGCAUAGUACAGUGGAAAUUUAAUAAACAGCAUAAAUUCAAAUUAAA